rnacentral:rRNA from 1 species
CCUACGGGGGGCAGCAGUGAGGAAUAUUGGUCAAUGGGCGUAAGACUGAACCAGCCAAGUCGCGUGAGGGAUGAAGGUUCUAUGGAUCGUAAACCUCUUUUAUAAGGGAAUAAAGAGUGGGACGUGUCCUAUUUUGUAUGUACCUUAUGAAUAAGGAUCGGCUAACUCCGUGCCAGCAGCCGCGGUAAUACGGAGGAUCCGAGCGUUAUCCGGAUUUAUUGGGUUUAAAGGGUGCGUAGGCGGCCUUUUAAGUCAGCGGUGAAAGUCUGUGGCUCAACCAUAGAAUUGCCGUUGAAACUGGGGGUCUUGAGUAGGUUUGAGGCAGGCGGAAUGCGGGGUGUAGCGGUGAAAUGCUUAGAUAUCGCGCAGAACCCCGAUUGCGAAGGCAGCCUGCCAGGCCAUGACUGACGCUGAUGCACGAAAGCGUGGGGAUCAAACAGGAUUAGAUACCCGGGUAGUC